UACGUAGGGGGCAAGCGUUGUCCGGAUUUAUUGGGCGUAAAGCGUCCGUAGGUGGCACUUCAAGUCUGCGGUCAAAGACCGGGGCUUAACCCUGGAAAGGCCGUGGAAACUGAAGUGCUAGAGUGCAGUAGGGGUAGAGGGAAUUCCCGGUGUAGCGGUGAAAUGCGUAGAGCUCGGGAAGAACAUCGGUGGCGAAAGCGCUCUACUGGACUGCAACUGACACUGAGGGACGAAAGCUAGGGGAGCGAAUGGG
rnacentral:rRNA from 1 species